UACGAAGGGGGCUAGCGUUGCUCGGAAUUACUGGGCGUAAAGGGCGCGUAGGCGGAUGUUUAAGUCAGAGGUGAAAGCCCAGGGCUCAACCUUGGAACUGCCUUUGAUACUGGGCAUCUUGAGUAUGGGAGAGGUGAGUGGAACUCCGAGUGUAGAGGUGAAAUUCGUAGAUAUUCGGAAGAACACCAGUGGCGAAGGCGACUACCUGGUCUGGCAUUGACGCUCAUGUGCGAAAGCGUGGGGAGCAAGCAGG
rnacentral:rRNA from 1 species